rnacentral:lncRNA from 1 species
CGGAGUCGGACGGUGGUUCUGCAGCCUUACCCUUACCAUCGCUUGGGGAAGAGUCAUGCUGACCAUGCUCGGGGCGGGGACCGCCCCUGGAAUUGACAGGGUCCCGCUCGGCCGGGGCCUCGGCGCGUCCCUCCUCGUAUCAUCCGGAGCCGACCGAGUCGAAGGCUGGGCUGGGGACCGAUCACGUCCAACCCGUCCAUCCCGGGCGCGCCCGGGUGAUGCCUCCGGAGAAACGGUAGUCUCGGCAUCGGAGGGCUGAUACAGCGUCAACUGCCGGUCCGCGCCCGCGGCGUCCCCCUGAUCGGCGGGUCCGGACCCGUCUGUCGGCGUCGGAGUCGCCUGCCGGCGGGACUUCUUC